UUUUUUUUCAAAUAUUUUUCCAAGCAGAAAUCUCUAGCUCAGCCAGCUAUACAAAGGAGAUGUCAAUUCUCUGGAAUUUAUGUCAAUGAAAAUCACUUAUGACUUGUAUUAAAACGGAUCUGUCCCCCAAAAUUGGUAAGCAGGGAAUGUACAUGAUGUAUGCUACCGUUAGUAGCAUAUCGUAUUACUCCAAUGACUUGCC